UAUAUUUUAUAUAAAAUCAAUUGUUUAAAUAUAUAUUAUUUAUACUGUAAAUUUAUAGAUAAUAAAGUAUAAAAAAAAUAUAUUUUGAUGAAAUUUAAAAAAAUACAUUAUAUAAAUAUAGUAAUAGUAUGAAAA
rnacentral:misc_RNA from 12 species